CUGAUUUUGGCUCUUGUGACUGG
rnacentral:tRNA from 1 species